rnacentral:rRNA from 1 species
GACGAACGCUGGCGGCGUGCUUAACACAUGCAAGUCGAACGGAAAGGCCCUGCUUUUGUGGGGUGCUCGAGUGGCGAACGGGUGAGUAACACGUGAGUAACCUGCCCUUGACUUUGGGAUAACUUCAGGAAACUGGGGCUAAUACCGGAUAGGAGCUCCUGCUGCAUGGUGGGGGUUGGAAAGUUUCGGCGGUUGGGGAUGGACGCGCGGCUUAUCAGCUUGUUGGUUGGGGAGUGGCUUACCAAGGCUUUGACGGGUAGCCGGCCUGAGAGGGUGACCGGCCACAUUGGGACUGAGAGACGGCCCAGACGCCUACGGGAGGCAGCAGUGGGGAAUAUUGCACAAUGGGCGGAAGCCUGAUGCAGAAACGCCGCGUGCGGGAUGACGGCCUUCGGGUUGUAAACCGCUUUCGCCUGUGACGAAGCGUGAGUGACGGUAAUGGGUAAAGAAGCACCGGCUAACUACGUG